rfam:Triticum aestivum genome assembly, contig: Triticum_aestivum_CS42_TGACv1_scaffold_542717_6DS
CUAAUACUCCCUCCGUCUGAAAUUACUUGUCUCAGAAAUGGAUGUAUCUAGACGUAUUUUAGUUCUAGAUACAUCCAUUUUUAUCCAUUUCUGUGACAAGUAAUUCGGGACGGAGUGAGUAUCAA